rnacentral:rRNA from 1 species
AGAGUUUGAUCCUGGCUCAGGAUGAACGCUAGCGGCAGGCCUAAUACAUGCAAGUCGAACGGUGAUAGCAAUAUCAUAGUGGCGCACGGGUGCGUAACACGUAUGGAACCUACCUUAUAGACGGGGAUAGCCUUUGGAAACGGAGAUUAAUACCCGAUGGUAUAUGUUGAUGGCAUCGUUAACAUAUUAAAGAUUUAUCGCUAUAAGUUGGUCAUGCGUCCAAUUAGUUAGUUGGCGGGGUAAUGGCUCACCAAGACGAUGAUUGGUAGGGGAACUGAGAGGUUAAUCCCCCACACUGGCACUGAGAUACGGGCCAGACUCCUACGGGAGGCAGCAGUAGGGAAUAUUGGGCAAUGGAGGCAACUCUGACCCAGCCAUGCCGCGUGCAGGAUGAAGGCGUUAUGCGUUGUAAACUGCUUUUAUAUAGGAAGAAAUAGACCUUGCGAGGUAAGUUGACGGUACUAUAUGAAUAAGCACCGGCUAACUCCGUGCCAGCAGCCGCGGUAAUACGGAGGGUGCAAGCGUUGUCCGGAUUUAUUGGGUUUAAAGGGUGCGUAGGCGGUUUAUUAAGUCAGUGGUGAAAGACGGUCGCUCAACGAUUGCAGUGCCAUUGAUACUGGUAGACUUGAGUGAGAUUGAGGUAGCUGGAAUGGAUAGUGUAGCGGUGAAAUGCAUAGAUAUUAUCCAGAACACCAAUUGCGUAGGCAAGUUACUAAGUCUCAACUGACGCUGAGGCACGAAAGUGUGGGUAUCAAACAGGAUUAGAUACCCUGGUAGAA